rnacentral:rRNA from 1 species
AUUGAACGCUGGCGGCAGGCCUAACACAUGCAAGUCGAACGAGUGGCGGACGGGAUAGCUAUGUAUGGGCAACUGCCCGAUGGAGGGGGAUCACUACUGGAAACGGUAGCCAAUACCGCAUUCCAUCGCAUGUGCCCAGAUGGGAUUAGCUAGUGGGUGGGGUAAUGGCUCACCUAGGCGACGAUCCCUAGCUGGUCUGAGAGGAUGACCAGCCACACUGGAACUGAGACACGGUCCAGACUCCUACGGGAGGCAGCAGUGGGGAAUAUUGCACAAUGGGCGAAAGCCUGAUGCAGCCAUGCCGCGUGUGUGAAGAAGGCCUUCGGGUUGUAAAGUACUUUCAGCGAGGAGGCGUUACUCGCAGAAGAAGCACCGGCUAACUCCGUGCCAGCAGCCGCGGUAAUAC